UUAAACUCGGCAAUUAGGGCUUAAUGUUAAACCUAGUUCCAUUUUCGUUGUGUAUCACGAGUUUCUGAAGAUGAUUCAUAAGCUGGAUUACAAAGAAUUCAAUCUCAAUCACAAUCAUGAGCACAAUUUAAGUGUUGAUUUGGCAUCGAUUGCUUUGAUGACCGCCGGAAGCUUGAUGUACGUUCUCGUCCACGGUUUUAUCCACCGUUUUUUCUCCGGAUCGGAUGCUCGACGUGCUGAUGGCCUCCAUCUCCUGGUUCCGCCGCCGCCGCCACGAGAAUUGCCGCCGGUAACGAGAUCGGGAAACCGAGUAUUCUUCGUUCAGUUUCCGGCUCCCACUGCAUCCUCUCGUCGCUACACCAUCUGAAUCCGCGAUUAGGAUUUGUUCGUAUUACAGCGAUUGAAGUUCUUCUGAUUAGGCGUAUGUUGUGUAGAUAUGUGUUGCGUACUCGAUUAUGUUGUGUAGAUAUGUGUUUGUUCAUAUUUCUGUUAUGUUGAUUUUGUUCCACUCGUCGCUACAGCUUCUGAAUCCGUCAUUAGGAUUUGUUCGUAUUACGUACAGCUUUUGAAGUUCCUGUGAUUAGGCGUAUGUUGUGUGGA